rnacentral:misc_RNA from 1 species
UGGCCGAUGUACGUUGACUUCCCAAGGGCCGAGGUUUGUGCAUGAAGCGUUUUUCCUUUAUAAUCGGUCCAAAUGAAGAAGCUGAAAUAUUAGCCAGCAAGAUGAAGGCCAUUGGAUUGGGUGUUUUCCUCAUCUCUUUGGCUGUCACAAGCUCAGCGAUCCCCUUGACUUUGAUAAAGCAGGGGGCGAAAACUGCGACAAACCAGGCAAUGACCACCCAAAAGCCAACACCGGGUGUUCCAGUACAAUCCACGAAGGCUGAACGCCCGAAGAGGGAAGUCAUCAAUAAGUCUGCCCCGGCUAGUGGUUUGGAGACUGAUGUGGAUGUUGUCUGGAUGUAUGGAAAGACUUGUGUGUCUUCUACCGACUGUGAUGCCGUCAACCAGGUGUGCUCCAUCGCCAGUCAUCAGGCCUAUGGACAUUGUACUGCCAAGCAGGAACAGGAAAGCCACAACUACACCGCACCUAGUCGUGCCCCGGAUGUCGCAGAACAAUUGGAGAAGUUAGGAAGAAAGAUCGAUGGGCUGACACCAACAGGACAAAAUAAGACCAAACAGUUGCAAAAGCGCUUGCAGCGGGACAGUGACUGGAUUGAAAAAAUCAGGCCACAGCUCCAGUCCAGGAUACUGUCUACCGGGGAUUCAACCAAAAAGUAUCGCAAGCGAUCCCUAAAUCUGGAUUUAGAUCUAGACACUGCUUUGGAAAAAACUUUGUCCGACUUGGAGGUCAAUAGGAUAACCAACAAUGUGAAAGUGAGGGCACCCAUGUCGGGUAGAACCAAGGCUAAAGCAUCAUUAAAGAAAGCGUCAGAAAAGAAGGAUAAUACUGGCGUCAAUGUGAAGGGGGAUGUAGAGAUCCAUGUAACUCACCACGUCAUUCACACCACAGCUGAUAACAGAACACUUGGAAACUCGUCCAAUACGUCCAGGGUUGUGAAAGCCAAUCAUUUACAUGGGAUUGAAACCAACUGGAGAAGGAUCAUUAAUGGUAAACAUGAUUUACUGAAUGCAUCACUUCCUCGCCAGCAGCUUGGCUUACAUCAGAUGGGGACUCUGUUGGCUAGUGUGGCCAAGGCUAUAAAACAUGACAUCAACAGAGAUCCCUUCAAACACGGCGGUGACAAAUACUAUUCUGGAGAUUUUAGUGACAUUCAAAAGAAGAAUCGUCGUGGUCAUGAUCAUGCUUUUAAAUAUGAUGACACGGAUGAUCUUCGUCAUAGAUCUGAUGAUGAUAGGCAUGAGAAUGAAAGAUGAGGAGGAAGAAGGAAGGGAUAAGAGGAAGGAUGAUAAUGAAGAUGAGGAUGAAGAAGGUGAUGAGGAUGAAGAAGGUAAUGAAGAUCAUGAUACCGACGAAGAGGAGGAAGAUGAGAAUUCGGAUGAGGAUGAAGAGGAUGAGUCAGAGAAUGUCAAACAUAAGAGGAAGCGCUCUUACGCCAAUAACGCCAAAGCAUUACACAAAAAUAUGAAGGGUUCUCGUAAACAAAAGCGAAGUUUUGGUAUUGUUCAGGAAGCUGUCGAAGCAAUAUUUUCUGACGAUCGUCAUCGGGAAUCAGAAAAGUCGAGCACAGAGUCCGAUGAGAAGUCAGACAGAGACAAAAGAAAUAUCGGAUCAUUGGACGAGUUAUCUCCCGUGUCUCACUAUGAGACAGCUAUUGAGCAAGAUGCACACCCAGAACUCCCAUCAAAAAUCCCUGAAAUACAAGCGGACGAGUUAUCUCCCACACAUCUGCCCUCGCAUCAAGAGGAUUCUCAACGCAUCUCAGCCAGCAACAAGUGGAGCGAGUGUAGUGUCACGUGCGGUCUGGGGAUCCGGAAGAGGAUGAAGAUGUGCGCAGACAUGCGCUGCACACCCGGAAAGAAGCAGAUCAAACCAUGCAUGAUGCCCAUCUGCUGAUGUCGAUGUGUCCAGCGUUGACCAUGGCGUCCUGGAAAAACCCAAACCUCUUUCUCAAACCUCCAAGUGAAUUACAUUUGAUAGUGACGCCAUUUGAUCAGGAGCCUAAUUCAACCUUGGACAGACUCAAAGCGAAACUGCUACAAUUCUCAGACGCCCCGGUUUCUAAAUCAUUUUCUAUGGAAUAUAAUUACAGUAAACUAUGGUUAUUUGGUUAUUGAAACACGCUUAUAACGAACAGACGGAUAUGACGAACUUCUUAGGUUUCGACUCUUGCUGUACAUUAUAUUCGAGUGUAACAAGCUACUUUUAUAAUGAACUGAAGAUUAUGGUCCCUAUAGGUUCGACAUAACCGUAGUUUACAGUGUGUUGUUAGGUGAUUAUUUCUUGGAUAAUUGGAUUACAGAAUGUUGUCUUGUUCUACAUUGUCGGUAGUGAACAAACCAAUUUCGACUUCACUCAUGAAACACAUAAAUAUUGCCAUAUUCUCACCUGCACGUCAAGCGGCACGUUCAAGGGUAGUAACUCGUGUCCGUCUACACAGCUUCAAAAUUGCCCUGAACACUUCGCUGUGUAUUUCCUAUUGAUAUGAGUGAGUGAGUCUAGUUUUACGCCGCUUUUAGCAAUAUUCCAGCAAUAUUAUGGCGGGGAAACCAGAAAUGGGCUUCACACAUUGUACUCCUGUGCGGAAUCGAACUAAGAUCUUCCGCGUGACGAGCGAACACUUUAACCACAAGGCUACCCCCCUAUUGAUAAGAGACGCGCAGGGUAGAAAUUGAGGAAUUUUUUUCUAUUUGCUUUAUACAUUUCAUUGUUUCAAAAAGUAAUAUUGAUUAUAACAUUCCACGACUAAAAUAAAAACAAAAAAAUAGUGAAAUUAUUUUUAAAGAAAGGGGUUGGGUUGUCGUGAGAAACAGGAAAUUUACUUACCGAGCUCAAACUAUUGUGCGUUGAGACCCUAAUGACAUUGUUGUAGCCGACAUCCAAGAAGCAGUGCGGUUGACAAUAACGGACUUCAAAUCGUCAAAGACCCACUUUUACGUAUCAAUAAAAACAAAUAGUCCCUUGCAUGUGUCCUGAAAUCACGAUGUCACUGCAUUGUAUGUACAUGAUGUAAAUAGUUGGGGAUGAUUACGUCGUCAUUCGUUCAUCGUCAUUCGAUCAUCCCGAAAUUGUGUCCUCCAUUCAUCCUGUAAUUUGUUCAUUCAUCUUGUAAUUUGUUCAUCCCGAUUUUGUGAAUCUGCGGGUACCUGUAUAAUAAUGCUUAACAUUUUAACCGGGAAAGGAAUGAAUGGAUAUCACUGAAUAUGUAAUCAGAUAACUAUGAGGAAAAGCAUAUUCAUGCCAAUGAAAGGAUAUCACUGAAAAUGUUAUCGGGUAACUGUUAGGAAGAGCAUGUUCAUGCCAAUGAAAGGAUAUCACUGAAAAUGUUAUCGGGUAACUGUUAGGAAGAGCAUGUUCAUGCCAAUGAAAGGAUAUCCCAGAAAAUGUUAUCGGGUAACUGUUAGGAAGAGCAUGUUCAUGCCAAUGAAAGGAUAUCCCAGAAAAUGUUAUCGGGUAACUAUUAGGAAGAGCAUGUUCAUGCCAAUGAAAGGAUAUCCCAGAAAAUGUUAUCGGGUAACUAUUAGGAAGAGCAUGUUCAUGCCAAUGAAAGGAUAUCCCAGAAAAUGUUAUCGGGUAACUAUUAGGAAGAGCAUGUUCAUGCCAAUGAAAGGAUAUCCCAGAAAAUGUUAUCGGAUAACUAUUAGGAAGAGCAUGUUCAUGCCAAUGAAAGGAUAUCCCAGAAAAUGUUAUCGGGUAACUAUUAGGAAGAGCAUGUUCAUGCCAAUGAAAGGAUAUCCCAGAAAAUGUUAUCGGGUAACUAUUAGGAAGAGCAUGUUCAUGCCAAUGAAAGGAUAUCCCAGAAAAUGUUAUCGGGUAACUGUUAGGAAGAGCAUGUUCAUGCCAAUGAAAGGAUAUCCCAGAAAAUGUUAUCGGGUAACUAUUAGGAAGAGCAUGUUCAUGCCAAUGAAAGGAUAUCCCAGAAAAUGUUAUCGGGUAACUAUUAGGAAGAGCAUGUUCAUGUCAAUGAAAGGAUAUCCCAGAAAAUGU